UACGGAGGGUGCAAGCGUUAUCCGGAUUCACUGGGUUUAAAGGGUGCGUAGGCGGCUUCUUAAGUCAGUGGUGAAAGCCCGCGGCUUAACCGUGGAAUUGCCAUUGAAACUGAGGAGCUUGAAUACAGUUGAAGUGAGUGGAAUACAACAUGUAGCGGUGAAAUGCUUAGAUAUGUUGUAGAACACCGAUUGCGAAGGCAGCUCACUAAGCUGUGAUUGACGCUGAGGCACGAAAGCGUGGGGAUCGAACAGG
rnacentral:misc_RNA from 1 species